GACCUCAAAUCAGGCAGGACUACCCGCCGAACUUAA
rnacentral:rRNA from 1 species